GAAAGUCAACAUCAGUAUUUCCUGUCCUGGGGACAAACCAGUGCCUCAUGUUUCUGGAAACGCUGCAGUAUUUGACUUCAAUUUCAACCUGGAUAACGCCAAAGCUUUUCCUCAAAUUCGCCACUGGAGUAAGCUCAUAGAUGCUCUGAUUUUGUUUAUCGUUGCUGCUCCUUAAUAUCUCUUGCACAGGUGCCGUUGACCUUUAGAUGGGCUGUACAGUGUGGGGUUUGGUGCCAUGGAUCUGCUUCUCCAGGGACCAGGAUCUUGAGAUCUUCAGGCUGGGUUUCCAUGGAGGCAUGGAGCUGCUUUUCCUCCUUCAUAACUGCACUCAAAACAGCCCUGUUGCUCUAGAAUGGAGACUUGGGCAACUCCUACUGGCACAGAUUUGUUCACCUCAGGGGAAAUUCAGAUAGAAGCAAGCUGCAGUCAGUUUCACCUGUAAGUCCAUGGGUUCUCAACUGGUAAUGUCCUCUUAUGGAUGUUAGCCCACGAGGUCAAUCCUGUAGCAAUCUAAGGCUUGAGAAGAAUUAAUCUUCUGGAAAAUUCCAAGAAUACAUCUUAGGGAAACUGGCUCUACUUUUAUGACUUGGAUAACACAAGGAUAUGCUUUUCAUGUUGGACUAGAACUCAGAGUAUUGGCCAAUGGAUGUGUUUUCUAAAACUAUCCCAGUGAGUUCACCAUACAGAUGAAGAUUCUGAGAUUCAAGACUCAAGACUGAAGAAGAUCAUUAUUUUUAUUAUUUUAGUCUGAUGCGCAAAAUGGUAUCUACUGAAUAGGCAGGUUUUUAAUAGGUAGCUUAUAUAUAUUAGCAAAAAUAAACACUUUGUCUUUUAGAUCUAUUCCAGUUUUUCAGUAGCUGUAGACUUAAGUGCUAACUUUUAGCCCAUAGGAUAAGAAGAAACCAAGUCCUAAAAGUAGGCCAGCACCAGGAUUCAGGCCUCUGACUUCAAGCCAAGGGUUCAUCAUCUUCAAUCAUGCACGAAUUUUUACAUAGUGCCAGAGGAAACUGCCUGUACUUACUGUUGUAGGUGCUUUGCUGGAUUCAGGAUGCAGACAAGGUCCAUGCACUGUGGUUGGGUGAGGUGUCUCUUAGGUCUCUUUUAAUCUGUAAUACAUCUCCCUGUUUUUUUAAAGUGCAUUUAUUUGUUGAAAAAACUUGGUCAUGGGUCAUUUUUCUGUAGAGUGGAUUAUGUUCUGGAUUUAGCUAAAUGCCCUCUUCUUGAAGAUUUAUCUUCCACACCUCUUACACGUGGUUCAUAUCCAAUGCUUGAUUAAACUCACGUAUUUUUUUAUUUUUUAUUUUUUUGCAAAGCCACUUUGUAUGAAUGCUGUGCACUUCCUGUUGUACCUUCAUCACAUCAGGAAGCAACAAUGUCUGGCCUUCUCGCUUUUAAUGUUGUUAAGAUUGUUCAGUCCUGGAGCAGACACAGCCUUGUUUGCAGAGAGCCAACAUUCUAAUUGACGGUGCAUGGUGGGAAACAGUGAAUGGAGGGAAAGAGUGCCAAUGUCAGAGAGCUACAGUGCAGUGAAGAAGAGAAGGCAAGAGGAUGUGAUGCAAAAUCACAGGACUUGGCUUCCAGACCAUUCUGCUUCCAUGAGAACAUUUUAGUUGAGAACCGGAUGGCAUGAAAGUAAGCCAGAAGAUACCAGGCAGGGACAGACUGGUCCCCAGGUGCGAAUGAGGUUGGAGCAUUUGGGACUGCAAAGAAUGUGGAGCGUGGUGAAUGAGAUGGCCCUUUGUAUCAGAUUCAUGCAUGAGUGGCUGGGGUCAUGUGUGUGCUUCAGUAGAGGGUACAAAGGGCACACUAAGAAAUCUGGGUUUCUUUCUGAGGGCCUGGGAAGCCACCAGAAAGCACUGAGCAGAUAGUGGUGGAUUUAUUUAUGUGUUUAUGAAAUCAUGCUGGGUGCUGGGUGGUGAAUGCUUAUAGGGGCAGAGGGCAAGGGUGGAAUUGCAGAGACCACAGCUAAGAGCCAAUUGCAGAGCCAGGCUCAUUGUGAUUCAACCUGGGAGGCAUUGGGGAUGAAGGAGAUGAGGCCGGUGAAGGAUGCAUUUCUACCUAUAAUAUGGAUUAGGUAGAUGGGUUUAUAUGUAAUGUAGAUUAGACUCAGAAAUCAAACUGGAGCCAAUGGCGGACACCUGAUGGAAGGUGUACUUCAAUUUCUUCCAUUGCAUAGAAAAGCAAUACCGUGGAAAGAGGAUGGGAUCUGGUGCCUCUCAGACAGGAUUCCACUUGCAAGCCGUGUGACAUGGGGCAGCCCACCCGAUCCUGGACCUCCACAAAUCCCUCUGCGACGUGGAGAGAAUCAGAUUUCCCCACAGAGACUCCAUGAAGGGCCCCAGAGCGCACUCUCCGGUUAGCCACUGAUGCAUUCACAAGGAAGAGGAAGAGUUAAAUGUUCCUUUCGAGGAAGCAGUGGUGGCCAAGUGCUGUGGGCAGUGUGAGAUCAGAGCUGACAGCUCAGAAUGUGAAUCGCAGUCCUCACCAGGGCCAUCGCGUGUUGCAGGGAGCUCUUCCCAAGUGCUCACUUUUACUAAAUUACAAAAAAUACAUAACAGGAGAGUUUCUUUGUGUUUUAAAAAUCAAUGACCAAUUUUUGUUUAGUUUUGUUUUUAAAAUACAGUGUUUUCAGAGAUAAGAGUAUUAUAUUGGAAAGCUGUUGUGACACAGAAAAUUACAUGAGCUUGUAGUUGAUUAAAACAGUCAAGUUGACCUACAUGUCAUCUCAGUGCACAGCAAGGAAGCAUCUUCAGCUUAGAAAAUUGCUGGCAUGAACACAAACAAUCUAGUUCUUUGAAACGAGAAUUUUCAGAUUUUAGAUUUAUGGUGAGAAAUAGCUAAGUCCCAGGGCCGGGCACGGUGGCUCGUGCUUGUAAUCCCAGCACUUUGGGAUGCCAAGGCGGGUGGAUC